rnacentral:rRNA from 1 species
AGAACGAACGCUGGCGGCACGCCUAACACAUGCAAGUCGAGCGCCCAGCAAUGGGAGCGGCGGACGGGUGAGGAACACGUGGGAACAUGCCUUUCGGUUCGGCACAACUGCGGGAAACUGCAGCUAAUUCCGGAUACGCCCUUACGGGGAAAGAUUUAUCGCCGAAAGAUUGGCCCGCGUCUGAUUAGCUAGUUGGUGAGGUAAUGGCUCACCAAGGCUUCGAUCAGUAGCUGGUUUGAGAGAACGACCAGCCACACUGGGACUGAGACACGGCCCAGACUCCUACGGGAGGCAGCAGUGGGAAUCUUGGACAAUGGAGGAAACUCUGAUCCAGCGAUGCCGCGUGAGUGAUGAAGGCCUUCGGGUUGUAAAACUCGUUUCGACGGGACGAUAAUGACGGUACCGUAGAAGAAGCUCCGGCUAACUUCGCGCCAGCACGCCGC